AAAUGAUUUACCACUGGUAAGGGUGGGAUGCCGCUAGUCUAUUCUAAGGUAAGGCUAUCAUAUCCCAUCUCACACUGAGUGGUGACAAUGACCUGUCCAUUAUCACCACCUUCCCUGUAGGGAACAGGAAAGCUGUGCAGUCGGGCUCACAAAACAGGCUUGUGAGGAGAAUCCCUUUUGAGGAUUAUCUGAAGACAUGGACAAAGAUGGCCACCACUAAAGCUGGCUCGUGGAUGAGGAAGGAAUCCCUGGAGGAUCUCAUCAAGUGCCCUGAGACCUUUGCCAUGUAUUAUGGAUCACCAGGCAAGGAAUCUCCCAUGGGUACACAGUGUGAAACGUUCAGAGCCUUAAUGUAUGGUACCGUGCACCAGCCUAAGAAGACCAAACCAGUGAGUGAGGGGAGACAGGCGAGGAUGGACCAAAUGAGAAAGAUUUACCUCCUCUACAGAGCACCAGACAUGCUGACCCCUCAGGUGAAUGUGCAGAGAGACUCCAUGGCCACCAGGGGUCUCUG
rnacentral:lncRNA from 1 species